CACGUAGGGUGCGAGCGUUGUCCGGAAUUAUUGGGCGUAAAGAGCUCGUAGGCGGUGUGUCGCGUCGGCCGUGAAAACCUGCAGCUUAACUGUGGCUUGCGGUCGAUACGGGCAUCACUGGAGUUCGGCAGGGGAGACUGGAAUUCCUGGUGUAGCGGUGGAAUGCGCAGAUAUCAGGAGGAACACCGGUGGCGAAGGCGGGUCUCUGGGCCGAUACUGA
rnacentral:rRNA from 1 species